rnacentral:rRNA from 1 species
UAGGGAAUCUUCCGCAAUGGGCGAAAGCCUGACGGAGCAACGCCGCGUGAGUGAUGAAGGUCUUCGGAUCGUAAAACUCUGUUAUUAGGGAAGAACAAAUGUGUAAGUAACUAUGCACGUCUUGACGGUACCUAAUCAGAAAGCCACGGCUAACUACGUGCCAGCAGCCGCGGUAAUACGUAGGUGGCAAGCGUUAUCCGGAAUUAUUGGGCGUAAAGCGCGCGUAGGCGGUUUUUUAAGUCUGAUGUGAAAGCCCACGGCUCAACCGUGGAGGGUCAUUGGUAACUGGAAAACUUGAGUGCAGAAGAGGAAAGUGGAAUUCCAUGUGUAGCGGUGAAAUGCGCAGAGAUAUGGAGGAACACCAGUGGCGAAGGCGACUUUCUGGUCUAUAACUGACGCUGAUGUGCGAAAGCGUGGGGAUCAAACAGG